rnacentral:piRNA from 1 species
UAAACAUUUGUAUGGUGUUGAUGGACAA